GGGGAUGUAGCUCAGCUGGGAGAGCACCUGUUUUGCACGCAGGGGGUCAGGAGUUCGAUCCUCCUCAUCUCCACCA
rnacentral:tRNA from 2 species